UACGGAGGGUGCGAGCGUUGUCCGGAAUCAUUGGGCGUAAAGGGCGCGUAGGUGGCCCGGUCAGUCCGUGGUGAAAGCGCGGGGCUCAACCCCGCGUCGGCCAUGGAUACUGCUGGGCUGGAGCACUGUAGAGGCAGGCGGAAUUCCGGGUGUAGCGGUGAAAUGCGUAGAUAUCGGGAAGAACACCCGUGGCGAAGGCGGUUCUCUGGGACGGUACUGACGCUGAGACGCGAAAGCGUGGGGAGCGAGCAGG
rnacentral:rRNA from 1 species